UACGUAGGGUGCAAGCGUUGUCCGGAAUUAUUGGGCGUAAAGAGCUCGUAGGCGGUCUGUCGCGUCGAAUGUGAAAACCCGGGGCUCAACCCCGGGCCUGCAUUCGAUACGGGCAGACUAGAGUUCGGUAGGGGAGUCUGGAAUUCCUGGUGUAGCGGUGAAAUGCGCAGAUAUCAGGAGGAACACCGGUGGCGAAGGCGGGUCUCUGGGCCGAUACUGACGCUGAGGAGCGAAAGCGUGGGGAGCAAACAGG
rnacentral:rRNA from 1 species